UACGUAGGAGGCAAGCGUUGUCCGGAGUUACUGGGCGUAAAGCGCACGCAGGCGGUCUUGUCAGUCUGUAGGGACAGGGCACAGCUCAACUGUGUCAGGCUUACGGAAACUGCAAGACUUGAGGGCUUCAGAGGGAUGGGGAAUUCCGGGUGGAGUGGUGAAAUGCGUAGAGAUCCGGAAGAAUACCAAAGGCGAAGGCACCAUCCUGGGGAGUCACUGACGCUCGGGUGCGAAAGCUAGGGGAGCGAACGGG
rnacentral:rRNA from 1 species